rnacentral:rRNA from 1 species
AUUGAACGCUGGCGGCGUGCUUAACACAUGCAAGUCGAACGCGAAAGGGGCUUCGGCUCCGAGUAGAGUGGCGCACGGGUGAGUAACGCGUGGAUGAUCUGCCCUGAUGUUGGGAAUAACAGUUGGAAACGGCUGCUAAUACCGAAUACGCUCCCCUUUCACCAUGGGAGGAAAGACGGCCUCUGCUUGCAAGCUGUCGCAUGAGGAUGAGUCCGCGUCCCAUUAGCUAGUUGGUGAGGUAACGGCCCACCAAGGCGACGAUGGGUAGCCGAUUUGAGAGGAUGAUCGGCCACACUGGAACUGAAACACGGUCCAGACUCCUACGGGAGGCAGCAGUGGGGAAUAUUGCGCAAUGGGCGAAAGCCUGACGCAGCGACGCCGCGUGAGGGAUGAAAGGUCUUCGGAUCGUAAACCUCUGUCAGAAGGGAAGAAAGCAGCGGGUGCCAAUCAGCCUGCUGUUGACGGUACCUUCAAAGGAAGCACCGGCUAACUCCGUGCCAGCAGCCGC